GGCUUUUAUAAAUGCCCGCUUAUUUAGAAAUUUCUAACAUUGUCAUAUCUGGAUAGUGUUCAGCUUUCCACUGUGAUGGACUAAUAACCAACUGAAAAUUCAAAGUGGUAAUGAAAAUUGAAGCAUACCACUUUGAAAUAUAGUAGCAAGCUAUUUCAACAUGAAUUUUACUGUUUAAACCCACUAAACUCAAAGCAAAACAAGAUGGUCUUGUCAUCUUUUAUUUAUUUAUUAUCUUGGGAAAAUAUUUAAUAGUUCAUUUUUUUCUGAUCCUAGAACCCAAACUAAAGUUAUGGGGUCUUUAGGUCUUGUUUUGUUUUGAUUUUUCACAAUGAAAUGUAAGAUUUAUGACUUAAAAGUGUUCUAAAACUUAGGUAACAGAUCUGAUUUAUUUCUUAACAGGAAGUUAAAAAGCCUUUCAACGUUUUAUAGACUUUGUGAGAAUCCCAUUUGAACCUUGUCAUUGACCUUCUGCUGAGGGAAUGAACACAGGAAAACAGACAUUGGCCAACAGACAAAUGUAUUUAUUUUUCUGAAUGUACUAUGAAGAGAUUUUUGAGAGAGGAAGAAUGAAAAAGAGAGAAACAUCUUUGCCUAAACGAUUUGCAAGCAUCUGUGCUUUAAGCUACUUUUUAUGAACACUCCUUAGUAAAUGACUCAAGGUAAAAAAGCAGAAAAGCAUCCAAUGUUAGGAAAUUGCAACCCAAUACCGUGUAAUUUAAACCUGCAGUUGCUUCUCUUGUGCUAAAUGACAUACAGAUGGGUAGCUUAGUUCUCUCAAUUUUGGGAACACAAUUGGUCUUUUUGUAUGAAUGAACAUAU
rnacentral:lncRNA from 1 species